rnacentral:misc_RNA from 1 species
AACGCACGAGACCUGCGGACCUGCGGAAGGAUCAUUAAUGAGAAACUGCCCCUCGCGGGUAGAUCUCCCACCCUUUGUAAACUUACCUUUGUUGCUUUGGCAGGCCCGUCUCCGGACCGCCGGCUUCGGCUGGCCAGUGCCUGCCAGAGGAUUCUAAAACUCUGUCUGUCAGUGUUGUCUGAGUCUAUAUACAAUCGUUAAAACUUUUAACAACGGAUCUCUAGAUCGGAAGAGCACACG